UUCCCACUCCCGUUCUGCUCCCGGCAGGCGCUUGAUUGGCCGCUGCAAGAACAGGACGCUGGACUGGACGGGCCGCUGCUCAGACCAAACAAGGCUCUUGCGAGCUUUUCGUUUGGGCUGACUAAUAUGUGUUUUUUUAGAAGACAUGCAUGCAGGGAAAAUCCCUAAUUGACUCACUGAGGGUUUGUGAAACAUCAGCUGCGUCACUUGGCUUAGUAGGCAAGUUGAAGCCGUUUCCGGGGGUGUGGAUGCUGUCAUAGAGCCAGAAUUAGAGAGCUGGCCUGGAAGGGACCCCGAGGGUCAUCUAGUCCAACCCCCUGCAAUGCAGGAAUCUCAACAGUUUCCCCUCCAAUUGGAAACCAUACCGGACCCUGCUUAGCUUUGCAAAUGUGCUAGAUUUAUUGCUGCACCACUAGCAUGCUGACAGCUUCUACUGGUGAGAGCUGAGUUCAGAAUGGACAAACUACCUCAAAAGGAGCAUGAUGCGUACCCCACCAGAGUCCAGGGGAAAGCGCGAACGCAGUCCCCCACUACCACAAAUUAUGCAGUCGAGUUUCCCGCAUUUGGGGAAAUCGCAGGGGUCAGCACACCCGAAGUGCAAUGGAUGAGCCUCACCCUGGGAAAACCACCUUUGUGAUCAUGGUGUCUCCCCUGCCAGAGCAGAGAAGUAACAAAGAGCUGCUGCCAAGAGCUUCUCAUUCCCUGUUCAAUCACCCACCCUCCUUACAAAAGCCACCGGUGGGAGAUCCAACACCAGACAGGCCACUCACCACCAUCCAUGCCUUUUUGGUGGAUGUGCAGAUGUUCUGAAGGGCCUUAGAGGAAUAGCAUACAGGAUAAGGUCAAAGCAACUGGCACUUGAACUCAUCCAUCCUGCUAUUUAAUGUUUCCCAAAUCACUGCCUUCCCAAUCCGGGUUUUCUCAUACCCUCUCCUUUUUGGAAGAUCCCUGGUAUGAGAAAAUGCUAGCAUAAUUCAAAGUGUUGUUUCAACCUAUGAAGUGCAAAACAGCUUGGGACCAAGCUACCCAUUUCCGCCAUAUAAUCCUUUAUUUAUUUUGUGUUCUUUUUUAUG